GACGAACGCUGGCGGCGUGCUUAACACAUGCAAGUCGAACGGUGAAGCGCCUUCCUUUUUGGUGGGUGUGGAUGAGUGGCGAACGGGUGAGUAACACGUUAGUAACCUGCCCCCUUCUUCUGGAUAACCGCAUGAAAGUGUGGCUAAUACGGGAUAUUCUGGGUCUGUCGCAUGAUGGGUCUGGGAAAGAUAUUGUUUCGGUGGGGGAUGGGCUCGCGGCCUAUCAGCUUGUUGGUGGGGUGAUGGCCUACCAAGGCGGUGACGGGUAGCCGGCCUGAGAGGGUGGACGGUCACACUGGGACUGAGACACGGCCCAGACUCCUACGGGAGGCAGCAGUGGGGAAUAUUGCACAAUGGGCGCAAGCCUGAUGCAGCGACGCCGCGUGAGGGAUGGAGGCCUUCGGGUUGUGAACCUCUUUCGCCAGUGAAGCAGGCCUGCCUCGUUUGUGGGUGGGUUGACGGUAGCUGGAGAAGAAGCGCCGGCUAACUACGUG
rnacentral:rRNA from 1 species